rnacentral:rRNA from 1 species
GAUGAACGCUGGCGGCGUGCCUAAUACAUGCAAGUCGAGCGAACGGACGAGAAGCUUGCUUCUCUGAUGUUAGCGGCGGACGGGUGAGUAACACGUGGAUAACCUACCUAUAAGACUGGGAUAACUUCGGGAAACCGGAGCUAAUACCGGAUGAUAUUUUGAACCGCAUUGUUCAAAAGUGAAAGACGGUCUUGCUGUCACUUAUAGAUGGAUCCGCGCUGCAUUAGCUAGUUGGUAAGGUAACGGCUUACCAAGGCAACGAUGCAUAGCCGACCUGAGAGGGUGAUAGGCCACGCUGGAACUGAGGCACGUUCCAGACUCCUACGGGAGGCAGCAGUAGGGAAUCUUCAGCAAUGGGCGAAAGCCUGACGGAGCAACGCCGCGUGAGUGAUGAAGGUCUUCGGAUCGUAAAACUCUGUUAUUAGGGAAGAACAUAUGUGUAAGUAACUGUGCACAUCUUGACGGUACCUAAUCAGAAAGCCACGGCUAACUACGUG